UGAAAUACUUCACAUAUUUAAAAUAUGCGUCAACCAUUUUACCUGAUCAGUGGGUGAUUAAUCCGCUUAAUGAAAUGUAAAUAGAUUUAAUUUAGUUUCGUUUUUUCUUUAGGUUUAGAAAUAUUCCCGGUGAGUAAUGGCUGUUUUCCGGGAGGAUUUGGUUUUGAUAUAAAAUGAAAACAAGCUAUUUUUUCUUAUUUGAAC
rnacentral:lncRNA from 1 species